GACGAACGCUGGCGGCGUGCUUAACACAUGCAAGUCGAACGAUGAAGCUGGAGCUUGCUCCGGUGGAUUAGUGGCGAACGGGUGAGUAACACGUGAGCAAUCUGCCCUUGACUCUGGGAUAACUGCGGGAAACUGUAGCUAAUACCGGAUACUUUCACUGGAAGGCAUCUUCUGGUGAAGAAAGAAUUUCGGUCAAGGAUGAGCUCGCGGCCUAUCAGCUUGUUGGUGAGGUAACGGCUCACCAAGGGGACGACGGGUAGCCGGCCUGAGAGGGUGACCGGCCACACUGGGACUGGGAGACGGGCCAGACGCCUACGGGAGGCAGCAGUGGGGAAUAUUGCACAAUGGGCGCAAGCCUGAUGCAGCAACGCCGCGUGAGGGAUGAAGGCCUUCGGGUUGUAAACCUCUUUUAGCAGGGAAGAAGCGAAAGUGACGGUACCUGCAGAAAAAGCACCGGCUAACUACGUGCCAGCCGCCGCCGUAA
rnacentral:rRNA from 1 species